rnacentral:rRNA from 1 species
GGGCCCGCACAAGCGGUGGAGCAUGUGGUUUAAUUCGACGCAACGCGAAGAACCUUACCAAGGCUUGACAUCCAUAGAAUCUUUCAGAGAUGAGAGAGUGCCUUUCGGGGAACUAUGAGACAGGUGGUGCAUGGUUGUCGUCAGCUCGUGUCGUGAGAUGUUGGGUUAAGUCCCGCAACGAGCGCAACCCCUAUAUUCAGUUGCCAGCACUUAGGGUGGGAACUCUGGAUAGACUGCCGGUGACAAACCGGAGGAAGGUGGGGAUGACGUCAAAUCAUCAUGCCCCUUAUGUCUUGGGCUACACACGUGCUACAAUGGGCGGUACAGACGGAAGCGAAGCCGCGAGGUGGAGCAAAUCCGAGAAAGCCGUUCGUAGUUCGGAUUGCAGGCUGCAACUCGCCUGCAUGAAGUCGGAAUCGCUAGUAAUCGCAGGUCAGCACACUGCGGUGAAUACGUUCCCGGGCCUU